UACGUAGGGUGCAAGCGUUGUCCGGAAUUACUGGGCGUAAAGGGCUCGUAGGCGGCCAACUAAGUCAGACGUGAAAUCCCUCGGCUUAACCGGGGAACUGCGUCUGAUACUGGAUGGCUUGAGAUUGGGAGAGGGAUGCGGAAUUCCAGGUGUAGCGGUGAAAUGCGUAGAUAUUCGGAGGAACACCAGUGGCGAAGGCGGCUCACUGGUCCGGUACUGACGCUGAGGUGCGAAAGCGUGGGGAGCAAACAGG
rnacentral:rRNA from 1 species